rnacentral:rRNA from 1 species
UACGUAGGGUGCAAGCGUUGUCCGGAAUUAUUGGGCGUAAAGGGCUCGUAGGCGGUCCAUCGCGUCGGGAGUGAAAAGCUGGGGCUUAACCCCAGUCCUGCUUCCGAUACGGGUGGACUAGAGGUAGGUAGGGGAGAUCGGAAUUCCUGGUGUAGCGGUGAAAUGCGCAGAUAUCAGGAGGAACACCGGUGGCGAAGGCGGAUCUCUGGGCCUUACCUGACGCUGAGGGACGAAAGCUAGGGGAGCGAAUGGG